GAUUCGUCACACUAUCAUUAACUGAAUCCAUAGGUUAAUGAGGCGAACCGGGGGAACUGAAACAUCUAAGUACCCCGAGGAAAAGAAAUCAACCGAGAUUCCCCCAGUAGCGGCGAGCGAACGGGGAGGAGCCCAGAGCCUGAAUCAGCAUGUGUGUUAGUGGAAGCGUCUGGAAAGGCGCGCGAUACAGGGUGACAGCCCCGUACACAAAAGCGCAUGUGCUGUGAGCUCGAUGAGUAGGG
rnacentral:rRNA from 1 species